CAACUUAUUCAAAGUGACUUCUCUGUUCACUUUGAUGAUGGUGCAUGUAAAGUUUUUGACAAAAAGAAAAAUAUUUGUGUGGCAAAUAUUGAAAUGAAGAACAAGACAUUUCCUCUUAUGAUGCCACUAAAUGAGAAUUGUGCACUCAAGGCAAGAGACGAAGAUUUGGCGUAUUUGUGGCAUUUACGAUAUGGUCAUCUUCAUGAAAG
rnacentral:lncRNA from 1 species